AUCUGCACUUAAGAAUAGAAAAGCAGCAUUCUGAACAGCAAUGCUCAUCACAUAAACAUGAAGUUUCCUCCAAAAGGAAUGAUGACUAAUGCUUUGAGGAAACAGCAGACGUCAGACAGCAAGCCCAGAAAAACCUGCCAGCACCAAGAGGGUGUCCUCAACAGGCGCCUGGGGGACAUAUUAUUCUAACUAAAGAGACCAGAGCUUCCCCAGGAAGGGAAGAGGAGAGAAAUGAAGAACGUCUGUGUUCAUGUUUGCCAAAAACAAAAGUCUGAGAAAUCUCUGAGAGACUCUACAUGGGAGGGCACUAAUCGAAGCACCUCAUUUAAAGUGAGAAAAGCUUUGCUAAGGGCAGAUGAUUCAGCACGGUAUCCUUCGAUGAGUACUGUCAUCUCAAAUCCUUUUUAAGAAGAAAAGUGCAACCCACUGGAGAAAGAGAGGGACUCCGAGGAAGGAGAGAGAGAAGAGCAUCAAGCACAAAUGAUGAUCUCCUAGGACAGUGGCAGCUUCUGAGAAUGCACAGGAAAGUGACCAGGGAAAGAAUGAUUCCAUCUCCAGGAAUCCCUGGUGAUCUUCAGAGCCCAGACAGGACCCUGCUGGGCCAUGGUAACUGAGAAACUGAGAAGCAGAUACAGUGGUCCCUAUGUUGGCAACCUCAGCUGAAGAGGAACAACUCUCUCUAUAAUCAAGGACUUCUGAAACCAGAAAUCACCAGCGUGGGGAGAGAACAUUAAAGGCAGAGGUGUCUCUUAUAAGCACAACGUGUGACCAGGUAAUACUGUCUGGAUUAGCAGCUGUACAGCCUAACUAAGCCCUGGAGCUACAAUUAUCUGGUCGCAUUAAACUGAAAUCACCUGAAAAACUUCACACUGAACAAGCCUUUGGAAAUGUCUAAUCUGCCAGUUUACACCCAGAAGUGAAAGUGGAAUUCACUUGUUAAAGACAAGAAAACAAAAGUUUUCUGCCAGGAAGAGUCUCAUCUUAGAACCAGUAUAGGGUCUGAAGACAUUUCUGCAAUUUAUGUUUAUGCCAUUCUUUCACUUUUAUUUAAAAAGGAGAUUUAACCUGACCAUUCUCUUUGAAGCCGAUGUCCCAAGUAUAUAUGUUUGAUGAGGGUACAGAAGACAUAAGGAAUAAAACUGCAUUGCCACAGAGGGAAUACACGGCUCCAGAUACAAGGCUUUAUGCUAAUUUUAGCAAAAUGUAUGUAUCUUUUUACAUACAUAAAGUUAUGGCACUAUAUAAAGAGAUCCUUAAAUGUGACAUACACUGAAGUCCUAUUUACUGCCUGAGUAUUCCUUUUAAAAAAUAAAAACUACAAGUAGUGGUUGUAUUAAUAUUAAACUAUCUCCAAAAUUCACUUUAGUUCUUUAACUUGUAAGAUAUAGCCAAAUCAUAUGCUCAAAAUUAAAACCCUGAUUUUAGUACCAGAUUACAGUUAUUUAAUGGUAGAUCAAAAGCAGCUAAUCUUUGGCUCCAAAUUAGGACCUCUCUACUCUGUCUGUUGUAACGCCUCACUUGCCUCUGUUUCCUGUUCUUCAUUUGUCAAUACUGAUGCUGAAAAUUCAUUGUGUCAGGUUGCAAUAUAUUCUGUAAAACCACAUUUCCCAAAACAACAACUACUUUUCCGUACAAAGAUGCAAUUUAUGGCAAUUUGGCUAUGCUGUAUCUUGAAGUCGAAUAUCAAGAUUUCCAGAAAACAAAAUUAAAUUCUUAAACAUGUACAAGUAUUAAAAUUCUUUAUCUUACACA
ensembl:lncRNA SOX5-AS1 SOX5 antisense RNA 1